rnacentral:rRNA from 1 species
UACGUAGGGGGCGAGCGUUGUCCGGAAUCAUUGGGCGUAAAGCGCGUGUAGGCGGCCCGGUAAGUCCGCUGUGAAAGUCCAGGGCUCAACCCUGGGAUGCCGGUGGAUACUGUCGGGCUCGAGUCCGGAAGAGGCGAGUGGAAUUCCUGGUGUAGCGGUGAAAUGCGCAGAUAUCAGGAGGAACACCAAUGGCGAAGGCAGCUCGCUGGGACGUGACUGACGCUGAGACGCGAAAGCGUGGGGAGUAAACAGG